rnacentral:rRNA from 1 species
GACGAACGCUGGCGGCGUGGAUUAGGCAUGCAAGUCGAACGGUAUCAUCCUUUCGGGGGUGAGAGAGUGGCGAACUGGUGAGUAACACGUAGGUUAUCUACCCUCAAGACGGGGACAACCCAGGGAAACUUGGGCUAAUACCGGAUGUGAGCAACUUUUAGUUGUUUGAAAGGUGGCGUAAGCUGUCGCUUGGGGAUGAGCCUGCGUCCUAUUAGUUAGUUGGUGAGGUAACGGCUCACCUAGGCAAUGAUAGGUAGGCGGCCUUAACGGGUGGUCGCCCACACUGGGAUUGAGAUACGGCCCAGACUCCUACGGGAGGCAGCAGUCGAGAAUAGUCUACAAUGGUCGGAAGACUGAUAGUGCGACGCCGCGUGAACGAUGAAUCCCUUCGGGGUGUAAAGUUCUUUUAUAUGUGAGCAGUGCUUCUUAUAUUAACAGUAUGGGGAGAGAGAUAUUAGCAUAUGAAUAAGCAACGGCUAACUCCGUAGCCAGCAGCCGCGGUAAAACGU